CCCAGGCGGCAGCUGGACAGGACAACUUACAGUGACAGCAGAAAUCACCCUUAAGGGGAAACCCUGCUUUCCUGGUCAGCUCCAGAGGGCCAGGGGACCCUGAAAAAGGUGCCGGGGACCAGGGAAGGGCCGGCCACCCCCAGCAUGUGGGGUAAUUGACUGACCUGCACUGGGAGAAGUGCCUGCCCUUCGGUAUAUAUACCCAAGAGAAAACCGUGCAUGUGCAUAAAAGGAGACCUAUAUGAGAAUGUUUGCAGCAGCACUGCUCACAGUACCACGACCCCAGAAACAACCCAAACACUCAUCACAGGAGAGUGGGAUAACUAGCUGGUAUUUUCACCCAGUGGAACACUCUAGGGGAACACGACACAUGAGUGAACAAUGUUGAGAUGCAACAAUAUGGAAGAACCUCAGCAGUAUAAUAUUGAUUGCAAAAACUACCACAUAAUAGAGGACCGGUGAAGACUUCUGACUAAACAAAUGAAGUACUGGGAAUCCAAGCCUGGAGAAGGAACAUCCCUCCUCACAGGGCAGGAGAGCCACAUAUACAGGCUCCUGCCUCUCACCAGCUCUCCCUUCUCUAAAUGUUUGGACUUCUGCCGGCAGGAGACUUCACAAAGGAAGGGAAGAACAUCGGGGCAUUCACAGCACUGCCCAGCAACUGGAA